GAGUUUGAUCUUGGCUCAGAUUGAACGCUGGCGGCAUGCCUUACACAUGCAAGUCGAACGGUAACAGGUCUUCGGAUGCUGACGAGUGGCGAACGGGUGAGUAAUACAUCGGAACGUGCCCGAUCGUGGGGGAUAACGGAGCGAAAGCUUUGCUAAUACCGCAUACGAUCUACGGAUGAAAGCAGGGACCGCAAGGCCUUGCGCGGACGGAGCGGCCGAUGGCAGAUUAGGUAGUUGGUGGGAUAAAAGCUUACCAAGCCGACGAUCUGUAGCUGGUCUGAGAGGACGACCAGCCACACUGGGACUGAGACACGGCCCAGACUCCUACGGGAGGCAGCAGUGGGAAUUUGGACAAUGGGCGAAAGCCUGAUCCAGCCAUGCCGCGUGCAGGAUG
rnacentral:rRNA from 1 species